UAAUUUAUGUGGGUCAGAUCUCCAUUUAGUAUUAUUAAAUCCUUAUCUGAAUACUUAGAAUUUUUUGUUUUUACAAGGUAGGCUAUAUCAUUGAAUACAUAAAAAAUACAAACCUUUCAAAAUACAUUAAAGU
rnacentral:pre_miRNA from 1 species